rnacentral:rRNA from 1 species
GACGAACGCUGGCGGCGUGCUUAACACAUGCAAGUCGAACGGAAAGGACCAGCUUUGGUGGGGUGCGCGAGUGGCGAACGGGGGAGUAACACGAGAGUAACCUGCCAUGGACUUUGGGAUAACUUCAUGAAACGGGGGCUAAUACGGGAACGGUGCUCCUGCCGCAUUGUGGGGGUCGGAAGGCUUCGGCGGUUGGGGAUGGACUCGCGGCUUAUCAGUUUGUUGGUGGGGUAGUGGCUUAUCGAGGCGUUGACGGGUCGCCGGCCUGAGAGGGUGACCGGCCACAUUGGGAUGGAGAUGCGGCACAGACUACUACGGGAGGCAGCAGUGGAGAAGAGUGCACAAUGGGCUGAAGCCUGAUGCAGCAACGCCGCGCGCGGGAUGACGGCCAUCGGGUUGUAACCCGCAUUCGCCUGUGACGAAGAGUGAGUGACGGUAAUGGGUAAAGAAGCACCGGCUAACUACGUG